rnacentral:rRNA from 1 species
ACUCAAAUGAAUUGACGGGGACCCGCACAAGCGGUGGAUCAUGCGGUUUAAUUCGAUGCAACGCGAGAAACCUCACCUGGGCUUGAAAACUAGCUGCUAACCCCUAGAGAUAGGGACUCCUUCGAGGGUGCUAGUUAGGUGCUGCAUGGUUGUCGUCAGCUCGUGCCGUGAGGUGUACCCUUAAGUGGACUAACGAGCGCAACCCCUGUCAUGCGUUAUACUUUCGCAUGAGACUGCUUCCGUAAGGGAGAGGAAGGAAGGGAUGACGUCAAAUCAGCAUGGCCCUUACGUCCAGGGCUACACGCAUGAUACAAUGGCUGGUACAAAGGGUUUGCCAAACCGCAAGGUGGAGCUAAUCCCAUAAAACCAGUCUCAGUUCGGAUUGGAGUCUGCAACUCGACUCCAUGAAGCCGGAAUCGCUAGUAAAGGUAGAUCAUCACGCUACCUUGAAUACGUUCUCGGGUCUUGUACACACCGCCCGU